CUAAAAUAUAUACUAGUAAGCAAACGGGACAAAUUAUACCGGUGAACCCCUUAAUAAUCUGUGCACGGAGUCCGGACGAAGACGCAGGAUGCGUACAGCCAGGAGAUUGGGUGCUCGUGAAAAGCUGGAAAGAAAACCCCUUGACUCCAAGGUGGGAAGGACCGUUCCAAGUACUCCUCACCACAGAAGCAGCCAUACGAACCGCUGAAAAAGGAUGGACUCAUGCUAGUCGCAUAAAAGGACCGGUAAAACCCCCUCACAGCUGGGAGGUUUGCAGUCUCCCGGGAGAAACCAAAUUAAAGCUGAAAUGAACUAAUAAAUGAUUUGGAUAAUAA